CAGUAGCCACGGUAAUACGUAGGUGGCAAACGUUGUCCGGAAUUAUUGGGCGUAAAGGGCUCGCAGGCGGUUUCUUAAGUCUGAUGUGAAAGCCCCCGGCUCAACCGGGGAGGGUCAUUGGAAACUGGGAAACUUGAGUGCAGAAGAGGAGAGUGGAAUUCCACGUGUAGCGGUGAAAUGCGUAGAGAUGUGGAGGAACACCAGUGGCGAAGGCGACUCACUGGUCUGUAACUGACGCUGAGGAGCGAAAGCGUGGGGAGCGAACAGGAUUAGAUACCCCAGUAGUCCCUGUCUCUUAUAA
rnacentral:rRNA from 1 species